rnacentral:rRNA from 1 species
UACGGGGAGGGCAAGCGUUGUUCGGAAUUACUGGGCGUAAAGGGCUCGUAGGCGGCCAACUAAGUCAGACGUGAAAUCCCUCGGCUUAACCGGGGAACUGCGUCUGAUACUGGAUGGCUUGAGGUUGGGAGAGGGAUGCGGAAUUCCAGGUGUAGCGGUGAAAUGCGUAGAUAUCUGGAGGAACACCGGUGGCGAAGGCGGCAUCCUGGACCAAUUCUGACGCUGAGUGAGCGAAAGCCAGGGGAGCAAACGGG